rnacentral:rRNA from 16 species
CACCGCCCGUCAAACCCUGGGAAUUGGUUUCUCCCGAAGCAUCGGACCAGUGAUCACCCAUGACUUCUAUGUACCACUAGUGCCCCAAAAGGCCUUGGGUGGUCUUAUUGGCGCAUACCACGGUGGGGUCUUCGACUAGGGUGAAGUCGUAACAAGGUAGCCGUAGGGGAACCUGUGGCUG